rnacentral:tRNA from 1 species
GCCUCGGUGAUCUAAUGGCUCUAAGACGCUCGUACGGAACACAAGAGAUUCGGGUUCAAGUCCCAGCCGAGGUA